GAGAAAGGUACAUAGAGGCAAGAGAGGAAAUUCUGGAGAAAUGAAAUCAGUGUAUUUUAUUAUUUGUAUGUUUUUUGUUUUGUUUUUUUUGCAAAGAGCUUUUUGUAAGUCUUGAUUUUUAUUCACUAGCUGGGUAUCUGGUAUAAGUCACUCCAUAUUCCUGACUCUCGAUAUGUAAACUGAAAUAUGGAACCGUCAUUGUGAAACAUGUUUUACUGGCCUGGGUGAGAAGCUGCAUGACCAUUAUUCCUCACAUAUUAAUUGCCGUGAUUAAGAAUGGUUACCAUAUAGUAAGCAUUUCUAGUAUGCCCAGAAAUGUGCAUAUACACUCCAUCACCUGAAUUCUCCAUGACCAAUACCAUUUUAUGGUUGAAUACAUUGAAGACACUUGAUUAAGCACAGGACCACAAAUUAAAGUACAACAAUAGACCAAAGACAAGAUUUGAAAUAAGAUCUAAUUGACCCACAAAACUGAAACUUUUGUUGUUCUGUUGGCCUUAUGAUUUUUAAGUCUCUCUUGUAUGUGAUCUGUUUCUAAAAGACUGGCCUCUGAGAUUAUGUUGCCUCGGGCUAAACAUCAGAUAAGGUGACAGUGAGUUAUUUAUAAAUCUAACAAUAAGCAUUCGUGGAUGGGGGAAGAUAAAUGGCUAUAGAGAAGAAAGGGAUCUGUUUCAUGCGUGGUUGUAAACCGAGUGUGAACCCGUGUGUUUUGUGCGGGAGAGUUUGUUCUCACUGAUGCUGAUCUACUGCAGGAGGGCGUUUCCUCAUCAUGCUUAGCCAUUGCGCCUCACCACAUACUGCCCUUCAGCCUUGCCUUUCUUGCAGAGAUAUAUUUGCUGGGUUGGGGGCAAAGCACAGGCACUGUGUGGGAUUGCAGGUGACACCUGCGCUCAUCCCUGAAAGAAAAGGCCCCACCAGAAGAUGGGAGUGCGUUUUAAUAAGACGGCGGGAUGCAGAAAGGAAAAUCAGAUUCAGCAGCAGGAAAGCCUGUUUGCAGGUGGUAAUUACCCUAUUUAGGGUAAGACACUGACCUUUGAUAGAUAAUGACAAAGACCAGGACAUUGCUUAAGCCUUAUAAUGCCUUAUGCUUUUAAAAAAAUAAUUACAAUAAGGAAUGAAUUAACAGCAUUUACAGUGACCUGGAUGAGAUUGGAGACUAUUAAGUAACUCAGGAAUGGAAAACGAAACAUUGUAUGUUCUCACUGAUAUGUGCGAGCUAAGCUAUGAGGACGCAAAGGCCUAAGAAUGAUGCAGUGGAUUUGGGGGACUUGGAGGGGAAGAGUGGGAAGGGGUUGAGUGAUAAAGGACAACAUACGUGGUGCGGUGUAUACUGCUCGGGUGAUGGGUGCACCAGGAUCUCACAAAUCACUGCUGAAGAACUUGUUCGUGUAACCAAAUACCACCUGUACCCCAAUAACUUAUGGAGAAAAUAAAUAAUAAUUACAAUAGGAUCUUGGGCACAAAUCAAGGCAGGUUCAUUUCUCUUUUCUUCAGAUAAGAGGUUAAGAGGGAGAGAGAUGGUAGGUAGGUAGGUGGUUCGAUCGAUGGAUUGGAAUGAACUGCCUUGAGUUCCACUGAUUUUUAAAUCACCCCUGCUUAAUGUCAUAAUUAGUUCUAGAUAAUGCAGUAGAGCCAAAGUCCCAUUAUAUUGCUCAGGAAAGGAGACAAAGGCUGGGCUCAGAAAGCAUGCCAAUCUGCACACCUUCAGGGCAGUCAUAAAUAAAGGUUUUGUUUGUUUGCAUUUUUACACAUAAUUCCCUAUCAUAGGUGCACUAAGUUCUCAAAGAUGCCGAAGGUCUGGCCAGUGAUGCUACAAGUCUGACUGUAAUAAAUGUUCAUGAAAUACAAAACGCUGGGUGUAUCAUAUUCAACAGACAUCCUGAAGUAAGUGCCCCAUGAGGGUCUCAGAAUUGGAUGGCUUGUCGCUUCCGUUGUUUGUGAAAGAGUAGAGGAAAGAAUGUUUGCUGAAAAGCCAAGAAUUUAUUUAACAGUCGGUUGGCAGAAGUAAGAUGUAUUUAUUUUCUUAUUGGAGGGGGAAAAAAAAAAAAAA
ensembl:lncRNA